rnacentral:rRNA from 1 species
ACUGCUCAGUAACACGUGGACAACCUGCCCUUAGGUUGGGUAUAAACCCGGGAAACUGGGUAUAAUACCCGAUAGGUCUCGAUUGCUGGAAUGCAUCGAGAUUUAAAGCUCCGGCGCCUAAGGAUGGGUCUGCGGCCUAUCAGGUAGUAGUGGGUGUAGCGUACCUACUAGCCUACGACGGGUACGGGUUGUGAGAGCAAGAGCCCGGAGAUGGAUUCUGAGACACGAAUCCAGGCCCUACGGGGUGCAGCAGGCGCGAAAACUUUACAAUGCUGGCAACAGCGAUAAGGGAACCUCGAGUGCCAGGUUACAAAUCUGGCUGUCGAGAUGCCUAAAAAGCAUUUCAUAGCAAGGGCCGGGCAAGACCGGUGCCAGCCGCCGCGGUAACACCGGCGGCUCGAGUGGUAACCGUUAUUAUUGGGUCUAAAGGGUCUGUAGCCGGCCGGAUAAGUCUCUUGAGAAAUCUGGCAGCUUAACUGUCAGGCUUUCAGGAGAUACUGUCUGGCUCGAGGCCGGGAGAGGUGAGAGGUACUUCAGGGGUAGGGGUGAAAUCUUGUAAUCCUUGAAGGACCACCAGUGGCGAAGGCGUCUCACCAGAACGGACCUGACGGCAAGGGACGAAAGCUAGGGGCACGAACCGGAUUAGAUACCCGGGUAGUCCUAGCCGUAAACGAUACUCGCUAGGUGUCGGCCACGGUGCGACCGUUGUCGGUGCCGUAAGGAAGCCGUGAAGCGAGCCACCUGGGAAGUACGGCCGCAAGGCUGAAACUUAAAGGAAUUGGCGGGGGAGCAC